CGGAAAUCGGGGACGUCUGGUCACCUUAUGCUAAAGGCUAAAAACGGCAGGUAUUAAACCAUAUAUUUUAGACCCCGAGUCCGAAGAGGAGGUGGAAGUUGAGGAAGAAGCCGGAGAUCUCCAGCGGUGUUUUCUAAUUCAUUCUGUCCAGCUUUAAGUUCAUUUUCCUGGCAGUGAACCGAAGGAAACACCGGUCGUUUGGAAGAGACCCAUAGCGGAUACAGUGGUAGCUGGGUCUCGCUCUGGCUGUGACUGAGUACGAGAAUGAGAGAGUGGGCGCGGCUCACCGAGGAUGCGCUCGUGAAUAAUAAUGAGCAAUGUCAACGCAACGUCAGAUGGACCUGCUUUUUCAAUUGGCCUGGUUUACUCGUUCCUUUAUUUAAACCUUUACAGAAUGCAAACAACGUAACGGUUUGUUUUCACAUUUACAACAGAAGACGAACAUAAUAUGGACCUUAUCUGACACCAGGGGCGCCACUAGGUUUUAAGGACAGGGGGGGCUUAGCCCCCAAGAGAUGAACAGGAUGUGAGUGAACGUAGUGAGCGAGCACAAAAUUUCACAGACAGAAAACAAAGACUGAGAAAUUGCUUUUCAGCUUUUUUGGACGGAUUUAACUAAGAUGUAGUCUCAGGCCACCAGGAGUUUUUUUGUUUUAUUUCAGUCUGUUUUUUUUUCAGUUCUUGCAACCACUACUGACCAAACUAUCAUGUUUUAUGUUUUUGCCAAACACUCUACAUGGGAAACAGAAAGCUGUAUUCUGGUUGACUGAAUAUCCUAACCAGUUGUGCUUUUCAAACCAGCUGUAGUGAAAUGCUCGCUUCUGUGUACCAAAACUAUCUUGUGGGUAGCUCUUCAGCUUGACCUGUCUGGGCCCUGUGUCUUUGUCACCUAAAUCAAACCCUGAAGUGGAAUGAGUUGCUGCAGCUGCUUCAUUAUUUUCCCUCUCUUGGCCUGUUUGCUCUCAUCUCUCAGCUUCCUCUGCCAUUUGCUGCAGCUCCUCAGCCUUUCCUUCUGCCUGACCCUCCAAGAUACAUUGAAAUACAUUGAAUUAAUAACUAAUCCAACAUAGAGGCUAAUGUCAUGACUUAAGCUCAAACACCACAGUAAUUUUUUGCUCCCAAAUAGUAAGAUGUUACACAGAUUACAUUUUAAAAUGGUUGCAAAUUAAAGCCCUGAAAAAUAUUACUAAAUUACUUGACUUAAAGUAAUAUUAAAAUAGAAUCCCCAAAAAUAUUUCGGUCAGGCUAAUUUAUCUCUUGGCUCUCUCCACUUUCUAAUCUUGACUCUCUUAAAUAAAAACUCAAAUGAAAUAAGUCUUAUAUGGUGCAUGACUGAAAUUUCAUAUUUCAUAUCCAUAUUGAGUUCCAUAAAAUUCUGAUCAGACUGUCUGCGUCACUCCUGUGAAUUCUUUUAGACUCACCUCUCCAGUAGAGGUGUCUCCCCUCUCACUUGCUGUGCUCCUCUGUCCUGACUCCUACAGGUCAGUGGGGAUGGUGGGGUGAGUAUUAUUAGUGCAUUAUUAUUAUCCACUGAUGAUAAUCAUACGUGAAUGAGCUCAGCUCGCUUUUUUCAGAGAUAAAACAAGUGACAGAAAUCAACAUCAUGCUAACAAUUUAACUUGGUGUGAUAGCCAGGUUUUUAUUUCUCAAAAUGGGGAGCACCUGGUUCAUAAAUUACAUGGGACUAUUUGCUGUUAGCUGGAGCUUAUUGUUACUACCAGCAGCUAUAAAGACUUACUUUUUUGAAAAACUUGUGUAUGUCCAUGAUGCUGCUCUCUGCCUGGCUCGUGACGUGACCAUCUCGCUGUGACUGUGUGCAGGGAGCAUGUAGGUGCUGCUGCUGGCAGCAGUGAAAACGCGGACUGGAUUUUUAGUAAUGUGGGCGUUCUCUAUAUCAACAAGUGGAACGGAUUGAAUAACUAAGCGCUGACGAAGGCUCUCCACCUUACACAGUGAAGUCAGGGGAAACCAAAUGAUUUGUGAUCAUAUUUAAGUGAAUAAUGACAUGUUAUAUUAUUAUUUAUUUAAACUCAUAUUCCUGCGUCUUUGUAUUGAAUUUGUCUGCACUUUUUUGUAAAAUAUAUAUAUAUAUUUAAAAAAAAAAAAAAAAAAAAAAAAUUUGGGGGGGGCUAAAGAAUAUUUUAGGGGGGCUUCAGCCCCCCUUAAAUAGGCCUAACGACGCCAAUGUCUGACACAAAAAAUACAAAAAAUUACAUUUUUUUGGCAGGUCCCUUUUAAAAUUAAGAACAGACUUACCAAGAUCAAGACUGAAUCCAAACUUGAGUUUGGAUAUUAAUGUUAAUUUUAAAAUAAAAUAAACUUAAUCAUAAUUAAUAUGCAACAGCCAUAAAACGUUGGCUGACUGAUCCAGGUAACUUUUUUUUUUGCAACAUUUAACAAACAACAACAACAUAGUCAAUAUUCUAUGGACUGGAAUUCCAGAAAAGCAUUCAUAAUAUUGACUUUUCCAGAAAACAGGAGAAUAUUGUGCAUGGAACAUUUUCAUUAGCGGUCAUUGAUUAUGUGAUUUUUGAAUUCCAUUUCACAAUCCUAUGUAAGACACUUGAGUGGUAUAUACUUUACUGUCAAAUUUAUAUUACAAACUUUAUUACAACAACAAUAAAGUUAUCAAUUCCAGCCAGACCUGUUGUGAGUUGGCAUUUUACCUGCAGAUACAGAUAUACUCUCAGUCUACUUAAAAGUAGAAAAGUUUGAUCCAUGUCAGUGUUGAAUAUGUUUGACCAUGUAGAGAAACAUCUUCAGAAUCUUUUACAAAGCUAGGUUGACAUAAAAACAGCAUUCUGAAAAAAAAAUAAUUUUAAUGAUUACAUUAUAUAAUUACACAAAAUAACAUGCAACUGGGCAAUAUAUUUUACUAUAUUUAACUUACAGGUUGUAUUUUUCCAUUUAUUGAGUAUAAAGUACACACAAUAUUACAGCAACCCUAUUGUUAUGACAAAAAACCAUUGUUUAUUUCUGUGUGAUCAACCUUCUCGUUAUCAAUCACUGCUGGUGCGACUGAACUCUAAGCUGAUGUUGAUGGUCUGAGGGGAAUACUGUCACUGACUGGGGCCAUCUUUCUAUAAUUUUCUUCACUUUAACCUCCCUCUAGUUCUCUGUCUGAUUACUGCAUUGGUGGCCUUUAAGUUAACAAAAUAGAAAUUAUGGUCAUACUUCCUUAUAGACGGGUUUCUUGUGUACAAACAAUACUAGGUGCGCGCACAACCAGGAGGCAAUCGCCUGCUCCGGAAUGAACUGAUAUUAAUGAAUACGCCAUAUUGUUUGCAAGUUCUCCCUGACACAAUUGCAAUAAAAUGUCAUUUCACUGAAAAAUUGCUUUGUCUUUCGUUGCAUCACAAAUCAGAAAAACACUUUCUGAAAUGUCCAUGAAUUUCACUCAACUUACCAGGAUGUGAUGUUGUUUUGGUUGUUUCUAUAUCAGGAGCAGGAUCAGGAUCAUAAUGUAAGUGAAUGCUAACAAAGUCAAGGUAAAAAUGUUUGAAACGAAGCUACUUGACAGCCUGUUAGAAUGAGUUUCUUUAGCCAGUCCUGUCAGCCUUGAGAGUGGUGGAGCUGUGUCACUUAAAUACCUCAGAUACUUCAGUGUUAAGCCGCGUUCAGACCAAACGCGACCUGAAGCGACCUAGUCGCGUUGGUCGUUGUAUUCCCGUCGCGUGUGUUCACACCGGGUCCAAAGCUGCAGUCACGAAGGUCGCAGGAUGCAACUCGCUUCUCCCACCUUCCUUCUUCCUCCUUUUCUCCCUCAUAUAUACAUCCCGCAGCCAGUGGCGGUUCUAGACCAAAUUACUCCCCGGGCGACCCCCCCCCCCCCCCCCCCCUCCACACACACACACACACACACAGACACACAAACACAAAAAGAGAUAGAAUUUUGAACAGAUAGCUUUGUAUUAUUAUGUAUUAUUAUUAUUAUUAUAACAACAAAAAUAAUAUAUUUCUCAAUUGCAGAAAUCCUUCAAUAGAAAAAAACACAAUCCUGAGGGCCAUUUUGAGAAGGGCCCCCAGAUCCUGAGGUUUUCUGAAGUGUUGAGGUUUACAAAAAAGCUGCUAUCUCGGCCUCUGUAGUAGAUAGAAACAAAAUUCAAAAAGUAUUUGAGAGCUUAAACAUGUGGCUUUCAAGAAAGCUCUCUUUUAGUUUUGCGAACCUUCAUCACAUUUUUGAAAACCUUGAACAAACUCAAAUGAAAUAAAGCGGCUGUAUAAAUAAAAGUAAAGACUCUGCACUGGAGAAUGACAAAUAAUUUGCUUUCUGUAAAACAAGUGGCAGUCAUGAUAAAGUGUCCAUUCAAUACAAAUGUAAAUAUAGAAAAUAAGGUGUUGAAAGGGUAAACAGCUGCCCCAGUAUAGUGCCAGUACAAAAGCAGAACUAAAAAUUAAAAAAUGAAUAAAUAAAUACAUGGCUGACAGUGUGUUCAUCUCUGUUCUCACCCAAAGUCAUGCAACACUCACAGAUAACGCUGAUAGUGUGAGCCAAAGCACUCCAUAUGAAGAGGUUGUUCACACUGCUGGAUGUUUCUCCUCUGAAGCUGCUCUCUGCCUCAGUCAUUGUUUACUUUACUCAUGAAGCUCAUCAAGCACGUAGCAAGAUCCCAGCAUGAACCCGAGCGCUUUACUUGCCUAUCAGAGGCAGACGGGUAUGGUGAUUUCAUUCACCGCGACUCCAGAAAUGAUUAAAAAACUACAAAAUGACGUAUCCGCGCUCCCACUGAUAUGCUGACAUGCGUACACAGAGCAGAGCUGUCCCCCCGCGACUCUCUCCCCGCCUCAUCUCACACAGUCUGUCACCCUCUGUGCAGCACCUUCAGAGCAAGCAGGGGCGCCUACAGCAGGGGGGGGGGGGGGGGGCGUGAGGAGAAAGAGGAGGAGGGUCGUGUGGUCUCCAAGCAGAGGAGACCUCGGAUCUCUGAUUAUUUGAUCUAACUUAUACUUUUGGCUGGUAAAAGAGUCAGAUCUGAUACUCACUCACUAUGAUUAAUAUCAUUGAAUGCUUGGUUUCAUGAUAAAUAAUUUGAUACUAAACACAUAUGAAUGAAAUGUAGGAUCACAUCAAACAUUCUCAUUAUGUUUUAAGUAUCACAUUGAACAUGCUAAAUUACUCUGAAAUGCAACAGAUAGUAACACAUAGAAACUGUGAACAACAAAAGAGUAAAUACAUGUGACUGAACGUCAUCAUGAUUAAUAAUGGAUUCUAAAUACUUACAUUCAGAUUAUUCACUGAUAUUAUAACCACCUAAUGGUUAAAAUACUAAAUAUACCAAAAUAUAAACCAAAACAUUUCUAAACCAUUUCUGUUACUUAGAAUAAAGUUAUGAGUCACAGUCUAUAAAUUUAACUCUUAAAGUUCAUGAAACAGUCUGAAAAGCUGUUGGUCUAAAGAAACCAAAGAAUGUUCACACACUUUAAGACGGUAAAUCUCAAAUGGGAGAUCUGGGUUGAGGCGUUAUUGUUUAUUUAGAUGGUCAGCGAUGGAGUCAGUUCGAAAGGUAAUAAAAACUCUAUCUCCGUCUCCGAAUUGACCAAUCGUGAAGAGUCAGAGGUUUAGUCAACCUCCGGUCGGGUCACUUAGGUAACCUGAAAGUGCAAAAAAGUCUGGAAAGAUUUAUAUCCUGUGUCCUGGGACCAGAAAAGGAAACUUUCCUGUGAGGAAUGUGUGAGUUUCGCACCCAGGGUUGUCUUGAUUGCUACACGAUAUUAAUCAAUAUUAGAGUGGGCCUACUUGCAGUAGAGGGACAGUGUGAAUAUAGGUGUCCAGAGAGACAAGAAACAGAUAAUGAAGUCCUUGGAGGACGUGUCGAUAAAUAUUGAAGUAAUAGGUGCUACUGUCUGGUUGUCUGACAGACUGACAGCUUGACGGCCCAGAUUCAGACUUCAGCAGUACGGUACCUCUGGGUUUUGUAAAAGAUGUCAUUGGAUGACGAGAUUGUGUUACUGGUUUUUACAUGAAGACGUCAUUGGAUGACGCGGUUGUGUUAUAGUUGUUACUGUUUAAUAGUCUGAUGGACUGACCGCACGACGGCCCCGAUUCAGUCAUUAACAGGUAUUUCUGUCUCUGUUUGAACGGACUGACUGCUUGACGGCCCCGAUUCCUUCAGUGGCAGUUGUAGUGUGAUUAUGUAUAGGGAAAUCUACAUACUGCAUAAUAUCGACCCAUACCAGCCUCAAUUGUUCAGGAUGUAUUUUUUUAAAGAUGGAAUUGGACUUAAAAUACAGAUGGAUGAAACACACAAAAUUUUUGAUGCUUUGCAUACUCACAAAUAGCCAUAGAGUUACUAGUCGUAAGUAAUAAUCCGUGCACUGAUGUCACAAACCAGUAAAUUCAGAAAACCAUGUGGUACAAAAAACUAAAAAUAAAAAAAAAUAGCUAAAUAAAUAAAUACAAAGAAAAAUCAAAGAUCUACCAAGAAAAGAAUGAAAAGUGAUAAAUGUAAUGCUUGAAACUGUUCCACAGUUAGACAUUUUUCCAACCAUGUCUGUAGUUUAAAUGUCAGCCAGGGAGUGGGUGCAAGUGAAGCUGGGGUUCUAUUACGAUGAACCAAAAAAUCAAAUCAGAAUGAUAAGAAAGUCUUAAAAAAAAUGAACACAGAAGGAAAUUAGAUAUUGUACGAGAGUAUCUAAUGAAUAACACAGCCAUCGAUAGUUUUCUAUGGAAUCGAGACUACAUGACAAAGGUGUAGAUUUAGAUGGCUUAUCAGUUUCCUGGGAAUCUUAGUAAGUUUAAGAAAGAAAAAAAAUUGGUAACACUUUACAUUAAGGUCCUCGUAAUAAGCAUUAGUUAAUAGGUAAUAAGGCCCUUAUAAGUGUGUACAAGAUGCUUAUUAACAUUAUUAUUUGUUUAUAAGACGAUAUAUCUAUUAAUAGUCUCAUUAUAAUACAGUUAUUAGCAGACUUUAAGAGAUUUAUAAUAACUUAUAAGAAACUUGUUAACUGUUUGUUGAUGCUUACGAACAUUAAUAAAAUCCUCAUGAGUAUCUUAUAACUGUUUAUAAUAACAUUAUAAACACAUAUAUUGACCCAACUAGCCCAACCAUGAUGGCUUUAUCAUGCCUUUAUUAAUCUUUUUGUUUGAUUUAUUAACAUUAAUAUACACUUUAUUGCUCAUCUACUGUAAGUUAACUAUGCACUUGUUUACAGUUAACUGUGCUUUUUGCAGGUACUGGAUCUAAAGUGAGAACAAUGUCUUAUAAAGGCUGAUAAAUCUUUUAUUGAGCAUUAUUAUGCCUUUAAGAAUAUUUUUUCCUGCUUUAUCAAAAUAAAAUGUACUUUACUAUGCCCUUGUUAUCAGUUAACUAUGCACUUAUUAACAGUUAACUAUGCUUUUUGCAGCUACCAGAUCUAAAGCGAGAACAAUGCCUUUUGUUUGUAUUAUCCGCGGGGCUGAAGAUGUUGUUCCCUUCAUUUUGCACGCGGCACCAAAACGACGUGCACAUUGAUCGUGUGGCUGAGCCGCUAAACAAAAACUGCUAAACAAAAUCAGAAAACUUAUUUUUGAAGGUAAAGUGUAAAGUUUUUCUGGUUGAAAACUUUAAACUUGAAGGUAAAGUUUAAAGUUUUUCUGGUUGAACUACCUUCAAAAAUAAGUUUUCUGAUUUUGUUUAGCAGUGUCAUCUUGGUAAAGUCACUUCUUUUUUCUCCUCUUCUGUUGCUUUUCGCGGGUUGCGUCUUUUUUCGCUUCUUUUCAGCCUGCAUCCGUAGCUGUUCUCUUCUUUGUGCGUUUCUCACAUGCUUUUAUUUUGAAAGAGCAGGUAAAACCGACACUUCCGGUUUAAGCUAGCGGCUCAGCCACACGAUCAAUGUGCAUGUCGUUUUGGUGCCGCGUGCAAAAUGAAGAGAACAACAUCUUCGGCCCCGCGGAUAAUACAAACCCGCUCCGGAUCUCGAAAAGAUCAUGAUGACAAGAGGAGCCGUUGUGAUAUGGAGGAUGACUCCUCUGGUAAGUUUAACUGCAGCUGCACAAACAAGCUUUGCUGUCCUGGAAACUGAUCUACAAACAUAAUUUCUCACCAACCAGCUAUUAUAUUUGGAACAAUGAAGACAUUGUUUACAAAAACCGAUCACUGUUUUACAAGGACUGGAUGGAGCACAACAUUUUACUAGUCGACCAACUUCUUAACAACCAUGGCUUUUUACUUUCUUAUGAAGAAUUUAUGUUAAAAUUUCAACUCCCAGUCACCCCAAAACAAUAUGCAGUGGUUUUUGAUGCAUUACCUCAGGGGGUGCUGCAACUUAUUAAAGGGUCUGAAAGAACGGCUGCUACUCCAGGAAAUUACACCUGUGAUAUAUUUGUGGGCGGAAUAGACAUUACAAAAAGACCCUGCUUGAAUAGACUGUUGAGAAGCUGCCUACAACCAAAGACACUGCCUAGAGGUCAAACUAACUGGUCUGCACAAUUGGGAGAAAUUAACUGGAGCAAUGCAUGGCUGGUUGGUGAAAAAUUCUGUCUCAAAAACAAGGUCAAAGAAGUCUCUUUUAAAAUAUUACAUCAGAUUUACCCUGCAAAGAAAACUCUUGAAAGAUUCAAACUGGACAUUGAAUAUUUAUGUGAUUUCUGUGGACUUGAAGAUGAAACCAUCUCUCAUUGAUUCUAUCAUUGUACCUACAGUAAAACCUUUUGGAUUGAUGUCCAACAAUUUGUGCACGAGAAAACAGGAAGAACGAUCAGUUUCCAGGAAAAACAUAAUUUUAUUUAUUAUGAUGACCAGGACAAAGAUCUGUGCUUUUUUUGUCAGUUGAUCUUGAGCUUGGGGAAAUUCCAUAUUCACAAAAACAAAUGGGCCAAAUCUAAGCCAAACAUUGCACCCUUCAAAAAUGAACUGCUCCGUUAUGCUGCCACGAUCAAGGAUAUUAAGAACAAGAAAGCUACCAAAACAUACUCUAUAAUGAAGAAAUUCUUUACCAUUGAACUGUAAGUCCUCUGGCUGUUGUAUGGUUGUGUUUUGUUUUCUGUUUUUGUCGUUAUUGUUGUGAUGUGUCUCUCGUUGAUUGUACUGUCUGUCUUGUUCAAUAAAAAAAAAAAAAAAAGAGGAGCCGUUGUGAUAUGGAGGAUGACUCCUCUGGUAAGUUUAACUGCAGCUAACGAGUUAGUGCACAUUCAAAACAGAGUUUUAAUGUAACCAAAUAGGAAAAUAGGUUGUUUAUAUGAGUUUGAUUAUUUUCAAUUGGACAGGCACUUCAUCCCUCACUAAUACACAGAGGAGUAACCAGCUCAAGACUGCUGCUGCACCCCUGUCAGGCUGCAACAGUAAUGCUCCAUAAAAUUACGAGCUUUGGCUAGCUAGCUAUGUAGCUAGCUGCGUGUUUGAAUGUGCACUAACCAGUUAGCUGCAGUUAAACUUACCAGAGGAGUCAUCCUCCAUAUAAUAGAAGAUUUAUGAGACUUAAUAAGGCAUUGUUCUCGCUUUAGAUCUGGUAGCUGCAAAAAGCAUAGUUAACUGUUAAUAAGUGCAUAGUUAACUGAUAACAAGGGCAUAGUAAAGUACAUUUUAUUUUGAUAAAGCAGGAAAAAAUAUUCUUAAAGGCAUAAUAAUGCUCAAUAAAAGAUUUAUCAGCCUUAAUAAGACAUUGUUCUCACUUUAGAUCCAGUACCUGCAAAAAGCACAGUUAACUGUAAACAAGUACAUAGUUAACUUACAGUAGAUGAGCAAUAAAGUGUAUAUUAAUUUUAAUAAAUCAAACAAAAAGAUUAAUAUAGGCAUGAUAAAGCCAUCAUGGUUGGGCUAGUUGAGUCAAUAUAUGUGUUUAUAAUGUUAUUAUAAACAGUUAUAAGAUACUCAUGAGGAUUUUAUUAAUGUUCGUAAGCAUCAACAAACAGUUAACAAGUUUCUUAUAAGUUAUUAUAAAUCUCUUAAAGUCUGCUAAUAACUAUUAUAAUGAGACUAUUAAUAGAUAUAUCGUCUUAUAAACAAAUAAUAAUGUUAAUAAGCAUCUUGUACGCACUUAUAAGGGCCUUAUUACCAUUAACUAAUGCUUAUUACAAGGACCUUAAUAUAAAGUGUUACCAAAAAUUUUUUUCUCUAGGACUCAAGAAACUGUUCAAGUAAAAUAUGAAGAAGCAAGCUUAUUGUUACACCCUCUUGCAGCUCCCAGGUUCAUUGUCUCCAAAUGUAAACCUACCUAGUGCGUCUGUGAAGUAUGGAAGUGAUGAUGAUGACAGUUCACUAUUUUUUACACAUGUUGAAUUACGAUAAACAGCCCUGCCCAAUGCCAACAAAAGUAGUCCCCUUGUUAUUCUCAGAUGUUGGGAGUGCCAAAUCUUUCAACAAACAUCCUUUAAGAUAAAUGUAUUCAUCAAUGUAUCCAGAAUUGUAAUAUAACUUUUGACUUAACAGAGAGUGUAUGUCUGACACAGAUCAAACCCUUGUGACAGAGUUGGGACUGUAAAAGGAUACCUGGCAUGCACAUUCAAGAGCAUACACUGACAGAUGCCUUCGCUGUCAUAGGACAGCGUUCUGUGGGAAGGAGCAAGAGUCCUCAAAAAGUAAUGUGAACCAAGUACAACUUCACUUAAUGCCACAAAUAACCUCUGAUCUCUUUUUGCAGAAUGAUUCUUAGAGGAUGGGGUAUGGUGCCAAUCAAGGAACCCAGGGUAUUCAGCAGGAGGAACACGAUCCUGAACAAUUUGAAUUGUACAUUUGAGUAGUUUUUCUGUUUAAUCUGUUAGUAUUCUAAAUCCCCAACGAUACUUGUUCAGAUGAUAGUCUCAUGUUUGUGAGCAAUGAUAGCUGUGGCGAUUACAUCUAAAUAGGCACAGACUAUAGUGUUAAGAUAUCCACUAAUACAGCACGCUACACACACAGUGAAUGUUGAUCGGCUCAACAUAAUCACACAGCACAUAUCAGUCUGAGGUGUAGAAGCUACAAACGCAUGUUAAAUGAAACACCAAAACUUCCCAUUUCAACAGCCACUCAUAUUUAUCUAGUGGUACACUUGAACUCAUUACUGCAUGGCAAUAAAGGGAUGGCUGAAGUUCCGUCUUUAGAUUGCUUGAAUGUAAUCAAUUCAACAUUCAGAGUAAGAGUAAAGAUGCAACAGACUCCACUGGAGAACAAUGAAUUGUCCUCUACUGUGAUGGUUCUGCGAUUGGACCUGAUGAUGGCACUACAAUGGCAGGUUAUGUGCUUGUUGAUAAUCACAAUCAAGAUGUUGUAUCCUACACGCCAUCGUAAAAUGUAACAAAACAUUUACAAUCUGACAAAGAAGUGACCAGAGACAACGAUAAUUAGCAGAUAAUAUGCCCCCCCCCCAAAAAAAAAAAAAAAAAACGGCGCUUGAUGCACCAUUUCCUUCUUGAUUGGUUCCUAAUUCCCAUCCAUACAACCUUCUGUUCCUCCGUUUUACGUUGAUGACUUAAUUUUGCUUCAAAGCCAUGCCCCUGAGUCUAAAGUGAACAUAUAGCAGAAAAAGAACUGUAACAGGGUUGCUAAUGGAUUAUAAAAAUAUAGUGGGCAACAGAUUAUGCUCCC
rnacentral:lncRNA from 1 species